UGUAGAGGGGGGUAGAAUUCCAGGUGUAGCGGUGAAAUGCGUAGAGAUCUGGAGGAAUACCGGUGGCGAAGGCGGCCCCCUGGACAAAGACUGACGCUCAGGUGCGAAAGCGUGGGGAGCAAACAGGAUUAGAUACCCUGGUAGUCCACGCCGUAAACGAUGUCGACUUGGAGGUUGUGCCCUUGAGGCGUGGCUUCCGGAGCUAACGCGUUAAGUCGACCGCCUGGGGAGUACGGCCGCAAGGUUAAAACUCAAAUGAAUUGACGGGGGCCCGCACAAGCGGUGGAGCAUGUGGUUUAAUUCGAUGCAACGCGAAGAACCUUACCUA
rnacentral:rRNA from 1 species